rnacentral:rRNA from 1 species
AUUGAACGCUGGCGGCAUGCCUUACACAUGCAAGUCGAACGGUAACAGGUCUUCGGAUGCUGACGAGUGGCGAACGGGUGAGUAAUACAUCGGAACGUGCCCGAUCGUGGGGGAUAACGAAGCGAAAGCUUUGCUAAUACCGCAUAAGAUCUACGGAUGAAAGCAGGGGACAGCAAGGCCUUGCGCGAACGGAGCGGCCGAUGGCAGAUUAGGUAGUUGGUGGGAUAAAAGCUUACCAAGCCGACGAUCUGUAGCUGGUCUGAGAGGACGACCAGCCACACUGGGACUGAGACACGGCCCAGACUCCUACGGGAGGCAGAAGUGGGGAAUUUUGGACAAUGGGCGAAAGCCUGAUCCAGCCGUGCCGCGUGCAGGAUGAAGGCCUUCGGGUUGUAAACUGCUUUUGUACGGAACGAAAAGACUCUGGUUAAUACCUGGGGUCCAUGACGGUACCGUAAGAAUAAGCACCGGCUAACUACGUGCCAGCCGCCGCCGUAACAC